rnacentral:rRNA from 1 species
CCGGGUUGAUCCUGCCAGUAGGCAUAUGCUUGUCUCAAAGAUUAAGCCAUGCAUGUGUAAGUAUGAACUAAUUCAGAAUGUGAAACUACGAAUGACUCAUUAAAUCAGUUAUAGUUUGUUUGAUGGUACCUACAACUCGGAUUACCUUAGUAAUUCUAGAGCUAAUACAUGCAACAAACCCCGACUUCUGGAAGGGAUGCAUUUAUUAGAUAAAAGGUCGACACGAGCUCUGCUCGUUGCUGCGAUGAUUCAUGAUAACUCGACGGAUCGCAAGGCCCUUGUUCCGGCGACGCAUCAUUCAAAUUUCUGACCUAUCAACUUUCGAUGGUAGGAUAGUGGCCUACCAUGGUGGUGACGGGUGAUGGAGAAUUAAGGUUCGAUUCCGGAGAGGAAGGCAACAGGCGCGCAAUUACCCAAUCCUGACACGGGGAGGUAGUGACAAUAAAUAACAAUAUCGGGCUCUUCGAGUCUGGUAAUUGGAAUGAGUACAAUCUAAAUCCCGUAACGAGGAUCCAUUGAAGGGCAAGUCUGGUGCCAGGAGUCGUUGUAAUUCCAUCUCUAAUAGCAUAUAUUUAAGUUGUUGCAGUUAAAAAGCUCGUAGUUGGACUUUGGGUUGGGCUGGCCGGUCCGCCUUUCGAUGUGCACCGGUCGUCUCGUCCCUUCUGCCAGUGAUGCGAUCCUGAUCUUAACUGGUAGGGUCGUGCCUCCAGCACUGUUACUUUGAAGAAAUUAGAGUGCUCAAAGCAAGCCUACGCUCUAGAUACAUUAGCAUGGAAUAAAAUUAUAAGAUUUUGGUCCUAUUACGUUGGCCUUCGGGAUUGGAGUAAUGAUUAACAGGGAUAGUCAGGGGCAUUCGUAUUUCGUAGUCAGAGGUGAAAUUCUUGGAUUUAUGAAAGAUGAACAACUGUAAAAGCAUUUGCCAAGGAUGUUUUCAUUAAUCAAGAACGAAAGUUGGGGGCUCGAAGACGAUCAGAUGCCGUCCUUGUCUCAACCAUAAACAAUGCCGACCACGGAUCGGCUGAUGUUGCUUAAAGGACUCCACCAGCACCUUAUGAGAAAUCAAAGUCUUUGGGUUCCGGGGGAGUAUGGUCGCAAGGCUGAAACUUAAAGAAAUUGACGGAAGGGCACCACAAGGAGUGGAGCCUGCGGCUUAAUUUGACUCAACACGGGGAAACUUACUAGGUCCAGACAUAGUAAGGAUUGACAGACUAUGUGGAACGACGAGAUCCGGUCCGCCGAUCGACUCGGGGUGUGGACCAGAACGGAUCGAUGUGGUGCUCAAAGCUCGGCCGAUAGAUAUGCUCGUUGUACAUCAUCGCAUCGAUCUAGGUGGACAAUGCAUGCCUCGUGCGUGCCUCGAUAACUGCGCAUUACCAGUGCUGGCCUGCGGGCUCCCCAUUCGACCUGUCUUGAAACACGAACCAAGGAGUCUGACAUAAGGUGCAAGGAAGCUGAUCGGCGCGAUCCCCCUGAGGGGUGCACCGCCGAUCGACCUUGAUCUUCUGAGAAGGGUUCGAGUGAGCGUACCUAUCGGGACCCGAAAGAUGGUGAACUA